rnacentral:lncRNA from 1 species
GCGGUUGCGUUGAAACAUUUCUGGCACAUAUUAUUUGUGGCUGGAUUACCGGUGAAGCCACAGUUGUUUACGCAAAGAGUCAAAGUUUCAGGAACCUUGAACUCUGUCUCUUCUUUUUCUGUUUUCUGAGCCAUUUCUGAGAACAACUCUCUUUUUUUUUUUUUCCAAUUAAGAGCUUUAGAGACAGAGGGGAUUAAAUCGAAGAGAAGUGAGAGUUCUAGAGAGAGAGGGGGUGAUGGGGCGAAGGGUUUG